AAAAAAAAAAAAAAAAAAAAAAAAAAAAAAAAAACCCUCCUUCUGUCUCGUGUCUCUCUCUCUCCUCUCUCUCUUCCUCUCUCCUCUCUCUCUCUGUCUCUCCUUUUGCCAUCUACAUGAUCCUUGAUUAAACAUGGAACAGAGUUAUUAAAAAGGGGGGGCGGGUAAGGACUCAAAGAGAGGAAAUGCAACUGUCAGAAAUCGGGACCGCCAGAUUUCCUGGUGAACCUGCCUCUGUCUGAGAGGGUGUCUCACCGAACGGUAGCUAAGAUCUCACCAGAACCGCGCGGAAGUGAGGAGUCGCGGCCAAAGGCGCCCGCUGGAGCCUCCUCUCUGGGCCGGACCCCAGCCCGAGCCGCGAAAGGAGCCCCCCGCCCGGAUCACAGCAGCUGCAGCUGCCGCUGAAAUUCGCUGUGGCCGCUGCCUCUUCCCGCUUUAAUCCCAGACCUCCAGUCAUUGGGCAGCUCCUCAGAGGCAAGAAGUCAACACCAUGGCAACCCGACAAGCCUAUCAAAUCACGGGCUGGCGUGACAGCAGCAACACUGCAGGCAGAAGUGGGCUGGGCGGAAGAGCAAAGUGGCCACUGCGCUCAGGGUGCUGUGAAAACCAGAAUUGGGCCAAUGCAGUUUGCUUUCAACCAUCAUGGUGGAAACAGAGAACAUCAGAGAGGAAUCACAUAUAACAAAUUUAACAAAACGCUAUUCUUCAGGAUAAAAGAUAUCUUUAAAAGGAAGUGUGGGGAACAAAACGAUUCCAUCAUUUUUAUGUGACUCAUAUGCAAAACAAAAUUUGCUCAUCUGUGUGGUCUACUGAUUGGAAAUAAAAUCAGAUAUUUCAUCUAACUUCAUUGAGUAAGAGAAAAAUCAGUGUGAUUCCAAGAAGAGAUGAACUCAUUUGAUUUGUUUUCCUGGUACUAUAAUAUUUUGUGAUGAGAUGACAUUGAAUGAAUAAAUGUAAGUUUAAUUACCAUCAUUGUUUGAUCAAAUAUUUGAUUUGGGAAUUGGUCAGUGGGAUUGAGGAGUCAGUCACAAUAAUUUUAUAUUAGCACUAAUUUAGGAGAGAGGUGCUGUUCCAUUUACUUCUGCCAGUCAAUGACAGGGUGAAAUCUGAAAUCU